rnacentral:misc_RNA from 1 species
UCUUUGUAAAUCAUGAGAAACCCUCUGUUGGUAUAAUCUGAUGGAGCAAAUUAUGGGGGUCUCAACUACCAAGGCAUCUUUAGGUAGACGCACAGGAUGAUACUACAGCUUGAACGAGUGGCCAUGUGAUCCCAUGUGCACUUUGGAAUAUAAAUACCAACUAGACUCAGCUCUAUUUUUAUUUUGUUAACAUGCUUUGCUAUGAUAUGAUUGUUGCCAAAAGACCUGUCAUCUCUUG